AUGAUCUCAAGGUCCUGUUGAUGAGGUCCAGGUUGGCCCUGAGGGUCAUGUUGACGAGGUCCUUGCUGGCCCUGAGGGAAAUGCUGACAAGGUCCCCGAUGUCCCUGAGGGUCCUGAUGGCGAGGUCCUCGUUGGCCCUGAGGGGCUGUUUGGCGAGGUCCUCGUUGUCCCUGAGGGGCCUGUUGGCGAGGUCCUCGUUGGCCCUGAGGGUCAUGUUGACGAGGUCCUUGCUGGCCCUGAGGGAAAUGCUGACAAGGUCCCCGAUGUCCCUGAGGGUCCUGAUGGCGAGGUCCUCGUUGGCCCUGAGGGGCUUGUUGGCGAGGUCCUCGUUGGCCCUGAGGGGCUGUUUGGCGAGGUCCUCGUUGUCCCUGAGGGGCCUGUUGGCGAGGUCCUCGUUGGGCCUCAGGGUCCUGCCGAUGAGGUUCAUG